rnacentral:rRNA from 1 species
CGGUCUUGACAUCCUCUGACAAUCCUAGAGAUAGGACUUUCCCCUUCGGGGGACAGAGUGACAGGUGGUGCAUGGUUGUCGUCAGCUCGUGUCGUGAGAUGUUGGGUUAAGUCCCGCAACGAGCGCAACCCUUAUUCUUAGUUGCCAGCAUUAGGUUGGGCACUCUAAGGAGACUGCCGGUGACAAACCGGAGGAAGGUGGGGAUGACGUCAAAUCAUCAUGCCCCUUAUGACCUGGGCUACACACGUGCUACAAUGGAUGGUACAAAGGGCUGCGAAACCGCGAGGUUAAGCCAAUCCCAUAAAACCAUUCUCAGUUCGGAUUGCAGGCUGCAACUCGCCUGCAUGAAGCCGGAAUCGCUAGUAAUCGCGGAUCAGCAUGCCGCGGUGAAUACGUUCCCGGGUCUUGUACACACCGCCCGUCACACCACGAGAGUUUGUAACACCCGAAGUCGGUGGGGUAACCGCAAGGAGCCAGCCGCCUAAGGUGGGACAGAUGAUUGGGGUGAAGUCGUAACAAGGUAGGCGUAGAUGA